GCUUACGGCCACACUAUGUUGAAAGCACGCCAUCCCGUCCGACCUGGCAAGCAGCGUUGGGCCUGGUCAGUACUUGGAUCAGAGACGGCAUGGACAUCCCAGGUGUCGCAAGCU
rfam:Ancylostoma ceylanicum strain HY135 Acey_s0090_scaf, whole genome shotgun sequence.